AUACGAGAUCAUGCCUAGUCUCGUGGGCUCGGAGAUGUGUAUAAGAGACAGAUCUUAUACCGUAACCUUUACUCUAGAGUAAAGGUUACGGUAUAAGAUGAGUAUGCGUUCUAUUAGUUUGUUGGUGUGGUAACGGCACACCAAGACUACGAUAGAUAGGGGCCCUGAGAGGGGGAUCCCCCACACUGGUACUGAGACACGGACCAGACUCCUACGGGAGGCAGCAGUGAGGAAUAUUGGGCAAUGGAGGCAACUCUGAUCCAGCCAUGCCGCGUGCAGGAAGACUGCCCUAUGGGUUGUAAACUGCUUUUAUACAGGAAGAAACACCUCUACGUGUAGAGGCUUGACGGUACUGUAAGAAUAAGGAUCGGCUAACUCCGUGCCAGCAGCCGCGGUAAUACGGAGGAUCCAAGCGUUAUCCGGAAUCAUUGGGUUUAAAGGGUCCGUAGGUGGAUAAUUAAGUCAGAGGUGAAAUCUUGCAGCUCAACUGUAAAAUUGCCUUUGAAACUGGUUAUCUUGAGUUAUUAUGAAGUAGUUAGAAUAUGUAGUGUAGCGGUGAAAUGCAUAGAUAUUACAUAGAAUACCAAUUGCGAAGGCAGAUUACUAAUAAUCAACUGACACUGAUGGACGAAAGCGUGGGUAGCGAACAGGAUUAGAUACCCUGGUAGUCCACGCCGUAAACGAUGGUUACUAGCUGUUUGGACUUCGGUCUGAGUGGCUAAGCGAAAGUGAUAAGUAACCCACCUGGGGAGUACGUUCGCAAGAAUGAAACUCAAAGGAAUUGACGGGGGCCCGCACAAGCGGUGGAGCAUGUGGUUUAAUUCGACGCAACGCGCAGAACCUUACCAACCCUUGACAUACUUGUCGCGGAUUCCAGAGAUGGAUUCCUUCAGUUCGGCUGGACAAUGUACAGGUGCUGCAUGGCUGUCGUCAGCUCGUGUCGUGAGAUGUUGGGUUAAGUCCC
rnacentral:rRNA from 1 species